GAUGAACGCUGGCGGCGUGCCUAAUACAUGCAAGCCGAGCGAAUGGAUUAAGAGCUUGCUCUUAUGAAGCUAGCGGCGGACGGGUGAGUAACACGUGGGUAACCUGCCCAUAAGACUGGGAUAACUCCGGGAAACCGGGGCUAAUACCGGAUAACAUUUUGAACCGCAUGGUUCGAAAUUGAAAGGCGGCUUCGGCUGUCACUUAUGGAUGGACCCGCGUCGCAUUAGCUAGUUGGUGAGGUAACGGCUCACCAAGGCAACGAUGCGUAGCCGACCUGAGAGGGUGAUCGGCCACACUGGGACUGAGACACGGCCCAGACUCCUACGGGAGGCAGCAGUAGGGAAUCUUCCGCAAUGGACGAAAGUCUGACGGAGCAACGCCGCGUGAGUGAUGAAGGCUUUCGGGUCGUAAAACUCUGUUGUUAGGGAAGAACAAGUGCUAGUUGAAUAAGCUGGCACCUUGACGGUACCUAACCAGAAAGCCACGGCUAACUACGUGCCAGCAGCCGCGGUAA
rnacentral:rRNA from 1 species